UACGUAGGGUGCGAGCGUUAAUCGGAAUUACUGGGCGUAAAGCGUGCGCAGGCGGUUCGUUGUGUCGGCGGUGAAAGCCCCGGGCUAACCUGGGAAUGGCCGUUGAAACUGGCGAACUGGAGUGUGGCAGAGGGGGGGUGGAAUUCCGCGUGUAGCAGUGAAAUGCGUAGAGAUGUGGAGGAACACCGAUGGCGAAGGCAGCCCCUGGGCCAAUACUGACGCUCAUGCACGAAAGCGUGGGGAGCAAACAGGAUUAGACU
rnacentral:rRNA from 1 species